CGUGUAGGCGGUUUAGAAAGUUGGAUGUGAAAGCUCCCGGCUUAACUGGGAGAGGUCGUUCAAAACUUCUUGACUUGAGUUUGGUAGAGGAAAAUGGAAUUCCGGGUGUAGUGGUGAAAUGCGUAGAUAUCCGGAGGAACACCAGUGGCGAAAGCGAUUUUCUGGACCAAUACUGACGCUCAGACGCGAAAGCUAGGGUAGCAAACAGGAUUAGAUACCCUGGUAGUCC
rnacentral:rRNA from 1 species